rnacentral:lncRNA from 1 species
AAAUCACAUAUUAUAUGAUAAAAGUGAUAAUAUAAAACAUUAGUUUCAAUGCUUUUACGAUUAGAAAUCAAAAUGGUAAAUAUAGUAAUAGUAAUGAUUAAGAUUUAUGAAUGAUAUUUGAAUAAAUAAAGGAAUUAAAUAGAUUAUUGUUAGAGAAAUAUAUGGUAACAUAUUAUUAGACUAAGUUUAAGGUAAGACCAAAAAAUAAUGAAUUAAAUGAAAGGGUCCAAACAACUUUUAUAGGUAGAUUUUUUAAGACUCCUUCCCUUUUAGAAUAGUAUUGAUGAAUGUAUUUGAUGUCUUUUUUUAUUGGUUAAACGUUGUUAAGCACAAUUUGUUUAUGUUGCUAUGUAAAAUGAUCUCACAAUCUCAUCUCACAAAAUUCAAAAAGACAAAUUCAUGUUCCACCAAACUAUAAUAGAUCUUACACAAAAGCCACAAAAGUACAUUCAUUUAGAGUUCUCGAUGCACAUCUAUCUCAUCCUCUAGCAACAACAGCUCCUUCAAUGUUUCAAAAUUCGCCCAUGAUUCUCGGGUCGUCUCUUUUCAUCUAUGUCCCUCUCUCUCUCUCUCCUCUGCACUCUCUUCUCCCGUUUCUAUCUCUCUUUCUCUGUCAUCUUCGUCGUCCUUGUCUCGUGUGAAGAAGAGACACGAACCCUGUCUCUCUAUUUUGAUCUGUUUGCUCUGUGUCUUGAGCAAAGAAGAUAGAAGAAAUCCUAAUUUUUUAUUUAGCCCCAAUUCAGUUUUGGUUUAAAAUCUAGGUUGGUCGGGUCUGUUUUUAAUGUUGGAUGGGCAAUCGCUAUUUACAAAACGCAAUUAAUUAUCUCUAAUCUUAAUUUCAGAAUCUGAUUAGAGAGGGGGAUUAAGAAAGAUUAUGGGGGAAUGUAAAGAGAAAUUAUAAGUUU